AUGCAUUACUAUCAGACAGCGAGAGAGAGACCGACAGCGAGAGAGAGACAGAGACCGACAGCGAGAGACCGACCGACAGCGACCGACCGACAGCGACCGACAGCGAGCGAGCGACCGACCGACAGCGACCGACCGACAGCGACCGACCGACAGCGACCGACCGACAGCGAGCGACCGACCGCCAGCGAGAGAGAGACAGCGACCGACCGCCAGCGAGAGAGAGACAGCGACCGACCGCCAGCGAGAGAGAGAGACAGCGACCGACCGCCAGCGAGAGAGAGAGACAGCGACCGACCGCCAGCGAGAGAGAGAGACAGCGACCGACCGCCAGCGAGAGAGAGACAGCGACCGACCGCCAGCGAGAGAGAGACAGCGACCGCCAGCGAGAGAGAGACAGCGACCGCCAGCGAGAGACCGACCGACAGCGAGAGACCGACCGACAGCGAGAGACCGACCGACAGCGAGAGACCGACCGACAGCGACCGACCGACAGCGACCGACCGACAGCGACCGACCGACCGCGAGCGACCGACCGACAGCGAGCGACCGACCGACCGACAGCGAGCGACCGACCGACAGCGAGCGACCGACCGACAGCGAGCGACCGACAGCGAGCGACCGACAGACAGCGAGCGACCGACCGACAGCGAGCGACCGACCGACAGCGAGCGACCGACAGCGAGCGACCGACAGCGACCGCCAGCGAGCGACCGACAGCGACCGCCAGCGAGAGAGAGACAGAGACCGACCGCCAGCGAGAGAGAGACAGAGACCGACCGCCAGCGCGAGAGAGACAGAGACCGACAGCGACCGACCGCCAGCGAGAGACCGCCAGUGACCGACCGCCAGCGAGAGACCGCCAGCGACCGACCGCCAGCGAGAGAGAGACAGCGACCGACCGCCAGCGAGAGAGAGACAGCGACCGACCGCCAGCGAGAGACCGACAGCGACCGACCGCCAGCGAGAGACCGACAGCGACCGACCGCCAGCGACCGACCGCCAGCGAGAGACCGCCAGCGACCGACCGCCAGCGAGAGAGAGACAGCGACCGACCGCCAGCGAGAGAGAGACAGCGACCGACCGCCAGCGAGAGACCGACAGCGACCGACCGCCAGCGAGAGACCGACAGCGACCGACCGCCAGCGACCGACCGCCAGCGACCGACCGCCAGCGACCGACCGCCAGCGAGAGAGAGACAGCGACCGACCGCCAGCGAGAGAGAGACAGCGACCGACCGCCAGCGAGAGAGAGACAGCGACUGACCGCCAGCGAGAGAGAGACAGCGACCGACCGCCAGCGAGAGAGAGACAGCGACCGACCGCCAGCGAGAGAGAGACA
rnacentral:lncRNA from 8 species